AUUGAACGCUGGCGGCAGGCCUAACACAUGCAAGUCGAGCGGAGCGGCGGACGGGUGAGUAAGUCCUAGGAAUCUGCCUGGUAGUGGGGGAUAACGUCCGGAAACGGACGCUAAUACCGCAUACUAUCAGAUGAGCCUAGGGCGGAUUAGCUAGGUGGUGGGGUAAAGGCCUACCCAGGCGACGAUCCGUAACUGGUCUGAGAGGAUGAUGAGUCACACUGGAAAUGGGACACGGUCCAGACUCCUACGAGAGGCAGCAGGGGGGAAUAUUGGACAAUGGGCGGAAGCCUGAUCCAGCCAUGCCGCGUGUGUGAAGAAGGUCUUCGGAUUGUAAAGUACUUUAAGUUGGGAGGCGUUACCAACAGAAGAAGCACCGGCUAACUUCGUGCCAGCCGCCGCGGUAAUAC
rnacentral:rRNA from 1 species